rnacentral:rRNA from 1 species
UACGUAGGGUGCAAGCGUUAAUCGGAAUUACUGGGCGUAAAGCGUACGCAGGCGGCUUUGCAAGACAGGUGUGAAAUCCCCGGGCCUAACCUGGGAACUGCAUUUGUGACUGCAUGGCUAGAGUUUGUCAGAGGGGGGUGGAAUUCCACGUGUAGCAGUGAAAUGCGUAGAUAUGUGGAGGAACACCAGUGGCGAAGGCGGCAUCCUGGACCGAGAUUGACGCUGAGGCGCGAAAGCUAGGGUAGCAAACGGG